AUGGCCCGCGCCGGAGCUACCCUCCUCGGGGUCCUCCUCUUCGCCUUGCUGGCCGGUUUCGCGGCCGGGGAGGAAGACUGCUACCACGACAUCAUAAGAUGCUGCAACGAGACGAUCAAGAAGGAGGGUCCGUACAUCUCCCCCAGCCAGGUCUGCCGCCGCGAGGUGAGGAAGGCGGACAUGCCCUGCGUCUGCCACAUCCUCACCGCCUACGACGAGCGGACCGUCAGCCCAGAGAAGCUCGUCCGCUGCGCCCACGACUCCGGCGUCGACCUUCCCGUCGGGAGCAUAUGCGGAAGU
rnacentral:rRNA from 1 species